GCUAGCACUAAAGCACAUCACAAAUGGCUCUUGUCAAACAGGACAGGUCACAAAACUAAAAGACACGAAUGUGGGAAUGGGACUUGAGGGAGGGGGAGGGGCUGAAAGAGGUCAAAGGCAGGUCAGGUGGGGCAGCAGGGUUCAGAAUGACCUAUAUACAUGUAUAAAAUUGUCAAAGGACACAUUUAAUGAAAGUCCCACGAAAAUGGGGGAGAGAAAGGGUAUAGAACCAGUGGCAUUUCCUAAAUGAUCUGCAAUGAGCUAGCUCUACAGGGGAAGCAGUCCAUCGUUCACAUGAGGGACAUGUAACUAUACAGAUAGCAGCACCCAAGACUCAAUUUCUGGAAGCCAGUGUUCUCCUGGGACAGCUCCAUCUCCGCUGGAGUCCCUUUCUUCAUGCCCACAGUUCCAUAUGCCUUCGCAAGUUGGUAAACCCACACUACUAAAGUCUUGCCAUGAGUAUGUGACAGGGAAUGGAAUAUGCCUACUUCCAGCAUGACUCCGGAGGCAGCUUCAUUGCCGUGUGAUUUUCUUCUCAUGCCUCUUCCAUCAGCUCUUCAGAAACUAGAUUGAUAUGUGAGGCUCAAUUGUAGUACAUAAAAAUAAAGACUACCCCUUCCUUAGAGAUAGUAGAUGGAAAA